GACGAACGCUGGCGGCGUGCUUAACACAUGCAAGUCGAACGAAGUGGCGAACGGGUGAGUAACGCGUAAUCAACCUGCCCUUCAGAGGGGGACAACAGUUGGAAACGACUGCUAAUAUCGCAUACUUAAGGAGGGGAUUGCUUCUGAUUAGCUGGUUGGAGGGGUAACGGCCCCACAAGGCCAUGAUCAGUAGCCGGUCGGAGAGGAUGAACGGCCACAUUGGGACGGAGACACGGCCCAGACUCCUACGGGAGGCAGCAGUGGGGAAUCUUCCGGAAUGGACGAAAGUCUGACGGAGCAACGCCGCGUGAGGUAUGACGGCCUUCGGGUUGUAAAGCUCUGUUAGUCGGGACGCGGUACCGGAAUAGAAAGCCACGGCUAACUACGUGCCAGCAGCCGCGGUAAUUC
rnacentral:rRNA from 1 species